rnacentral:lncRNA from 13 species
UCCACAGAUUAUGCCAUUUUGAGAACUACCUUGCAAGAAGAGGGGAUCACUCACAGCCAGAAGCUGUACUCCACAGUACAGUUCUUUAAUAUGGCAAAUGCAAGUCUUCUUUUGUAUGUGAGUACUAAGAAAACAUCUUCCAAGAAUCACUCUGUCUGCAACAGAGAGUGUAGUGAGCUGGAGGCUCUCAGGAAUAAAAGAGGAGACGCACAGCACCCUUAUAAGAAGUGGAACUCUCAUGACAUUCAACAAGGGCAUCUGAUAGACAACUUUGACACCUGAUCUCUGGGGACCUUAUGGAGUCACUCAGAGUUCUUAAGAGACUUCCCUUACUUUAUCAUUCCAGAAAGAAUUGUCACAGGUGGAUGUAUCGCACUUUCUCAGGAGCUGAACCUGACCCUUGAAUCCAUCUCAUUUGCACUGCAGGUUUCACAAUGAAUUAAAAUGGAUUAAGUUGGCUUAAUGCUGUUUUACAAGCAAGUGGAAAGCACUGCACCAUUCAUUUUUAAUUUUAAUCCUUUGUCUUAGCCUGCUAAUUACUAUUGUUUUAAGUUCAUUAUCCUGGCGUGCACAUUGUUACUAGUUGGAUGCUAAUGCUUGUAAGCAGUGUUCUUACUUUUGCAGGUACUGACCCUUCAAUUAUCAAAUUAGUCCAUGUCAUUGCUGAACAGCUGACUUUAUAAUCUACAAUUCACUCUUUAAAAUUUUAUUCUUCUCUUGUCUCUAAUUAAUUAAGCAAUAACACUAUUGAAGCAUCUUAUGCAGAGGCUCAACUUCAAGAGCAUUAAAAAGGAGAAAAGAAACUAAAAUUGGAUAUGUGAUUCCUCAAGUUUCUCUGACAACCUUGGGUCAGAGGAAUUCUAUGAUACCAUGUUUGUCUGUAAAGCUUGCAAAAUAUGAUGAUAGAAAGUAAUGUAAGCCCUAUUUUCUGUCUGAUCACCACUUGUUUCAAAUUCUCCACUAAUUACAACCCAGAUGCCACACUACAAUCAAGAGGAAAGCAUAAGGAAGUAAAGAUGACAUUG